AUCCAAAGAAAGAAUGGAUCCACUUAAGAAACCAAAGACUCCACAACUUACACAGCAUCGGUCACGUCAGAUUUGGUUGAAAAUUUGGUCAAAAAGACAAUCCCAACAACCUCCUACUCUUUACAAAAGUGAUGAAGAUCAUUAAUAGAUUUUAAAAGGCCAUCACUUUUAUCAGAAGAGAAAGAAGCACGGUGAAGAGGCCUUCAUCAUGAUCUUUUGAAGAAGAAAAAUACCAAUUAAUGAGAUCAUCUGAAGAAGAUAGGGUCGCAAGGACCUCGAGCC
rnacentral:lncRNA from 1 species